UGCUUGUCAGGAUCACGUGGAUUUAGCAAGCAGUUUAUGAUUUGAGCGUUGGUCUAUCUCCGUUUCUUCAUUCUCGGAGGUUUUAUUUUAUUUUCAGAAUAAAAGAGUCGAACUGUUUUAAACUCUUAGACCGCAGUAGUAGUAUCAGUUAUUCAUGUCUUAGUCUUUUAUUUAUAUUUUUUUUGACUAUUGUUGUUGGAUUUGUCCAACUAUUACUUUAUCGCUUUUGGCAUGAUAAUUACAGUGUUUAUGGUAUUUAUAUUAUAUUGCCA